rnacentral:rRNA from 1 species
GUGGGGAAUAUUGCACAAUGGGGGAAACCCUGAUGCAGCGACGCCGCGUGAGCGAAGAAGUAUCUCGGUAUGUAAAGCUCUAUCAGCAGGGAAGAAGAAUGACGGUACCUGACUAAGAAGCCCCGGCUAACUACGUGCCAGCAGCCGCGGUAAUACGUAGGGGGCAAGCGUUAUCCGGAUUUACUGGGUGUAAAGGGAGCGCAGGCGGCGCGGCAAGUCUGAUGUGAAAGCCCGGGGCUCAACCCCGGGACUGCAUUGGAAACUGUCGCGCUCGAGUGUCGGAGGGGCAAGCGGAAUUCCUAGUGUAGCGGUGAAAUGCGUAGAUAUUAGGAGGAACACCGGUGGCGAAGGCGGCUUGCUGGACGACGACUGACGCUGAGGCUCGAAAGCGUGGGGAGCAAACAGGA